rnacentral:lncRNA from 1 species
GACAACCGGUAUUAGUGUGUGUCCCCGAACAAUGUCUCAGGUGUUUACAUUUCACUGACCCGAAUAUUGGUGGAACUAGGCUGCCUAACUGCUGGUCAAUCUGCAUUUGCUCCAAUGCAGACUGAAUGACACAGACUGUAUACAAGGAGUAGUGAGCGUAGAGGGUAUAAAGAGAAACCUAUUGGUUCCUUCUGCCUAGUCUGUGAUAGUUACAAUGCUGCAUGUUUUAUAUUUUGGACAGUUGAUUCAUGCAUACCAAGACCUCUGCCAAUUUUCGAAUUGCUAUUGCCACAUGUAUGGCAUUCUAUUGCGUCAAAUUUCUACUCCAAUGUAAUAGCAUUGAACUGUGGCCAUGCUGGAGCACCA